UACGUAGGGUGCAGGCGUUAAUCGGAAUUAUUGGGCGUAAAGCGCGUGUAGGCGGCUCGGUAAGUCUGCUGUGAAAGUCCAGGGCUCAACCCUGGAAUGCCGGUGGAUACUGUCGAGCUCGAGUCCGGAAGAGGCGAGUGGAAUUCCUGGUGUAGCGGUGAAAUGCGCAGAUAUCAGGAGGAACACCAAUGGCGAAGGCAGCUCGCUGGGACGGUACUGACGCUGAGACGCGAAAGCGUGGGGAGCAAACAGG
rnacentral:rRNA from 1 species